CACGGCCUAACACAUGCAAGUCGAACGAGACCUUCGGGUCUAGUGGCGCACGGGUGCGUAACGCGUGGGAAUCUGCCCUUGGGUUCGGAAUAACAGCGAGAAAUUGCUGCUAAUACCGGAUGAUGACGUAAGUCCAAAGAUUUAUCGCCCAAGGAUGAGCCCGCGUAGGAUUAGCUAGUUGGUGGGGUAAAGGCCCACCAAGGCGACGAUCCUUAGCUGGUCUGAGAGGAUGAUCAGCCACACUGGGACUGAGACACGGCCCAGACUCCUACGGGAGGCAGCAGUGGGGAAUAUUGGACAAUGGGCGAAAGCCUGAUCCAGCAAUGCCGCGUGAGUGAUGAAGGCCUUAGGGUUGUAAAGCUCUUUUACCCGGGAUGAUAAUGACAGUACCGGGAGAAUAAGCUCCGGCUAACUCCGUGCCAGCAGCCGCGGUAA
rnacentral:rRNA from 1 species